GUUCAAAGCUCAAGGUUGUUUAGUGAUAUUCUUCUUCUUGUUGACCUUUAGUUUGGCUUUCAAAAUAAGCACUGAAAUUAAAGAUGGUAUACCCGAUGGCUUAGAAACAGAUCCUUUUCAAAAGAUUGGUAAAGGAUUGUACUAUAUAGAAACAAAAUUGAAAGUUAACUGGUUUAAAGCCAACGAGAUAUGUCAUGCCAUGGAUGCCGAGCUAAUAACUUUUGAAACAAUGGACGAAUGGGAUAUAAUUAACAAAUACUUAAAAGAUAACGAAUUGGAAAAUAAGUACUGGACGUCAGGGAAUGAUCUAGCCGAGCAGUUUAUACAUGUUUGGCUUACGAAUGGGCAACCAAUACAUUUAAAAGACAUAUGGGCUCCAGGAGAGCCUAACAAUUAUAAUAAUUCGAAUGAACGCUGUGAUGGGAUGGGAUAUAAAGCAAAUCCAAGUGCCAAGCCCGGUCUUAAUGAUGGUCAUUGCACUACC